rnacentral:rRNA from 1 species
AUAGCGUAUAUUAAAGUUGUUGCAGUUAAAAAGCUCGUAGUUGAACUUCUGUACGUGUCGUGUUCUGGUCUUGAUCAAGCACUGAUGCGUACAUCCGCUUGCAAACUUGGCCCGGCCUUAACUGGUCGACCAAGGGAGUAGGCCUUUUACUUUGAAAAAAUUAGAGUGUUUCAAGCAGGCAAUGGCUCGAAUACAUUAGCAUGGAAUAAUGGAAUAGGACUUUUGUCCAUUUGGUUGGUUAUUGGACAUGAGUAAUGAUUAACAGGGACAGUUGGGGGCAUUAGUAUUUAAUUGUCAGAGGUGAAAUUCUUGGAUUUAUUAAAGACUAACCUAUG